rnacentral:tRNA from 1 species
GAUAUGUAGCUCAGGUGGUGGAGCGACCGGCUGUUAACCGGUAGGCUGAAGGUUCGAGUCCUUCCAUAUCC